rnacentral:rRNA from 1 species
UGGGGAAUAUUGGACAAUGGGCGCAAGCCUGAUCCAGCCAUGCCGCGUGAGUGAUGAAGGCCCUAGGGUUGUAAAGCUCUUUCAGCGAGGAGGAUAAUGACGUUACUCGCAGAAGAAGCCCCGGCUAACUUCGUGCCAGCAGCCGCGGUAAUACGAAGGGGGCUAGCGUUGUUCGGAAUCACUGGGCGCAAAGCGCACGUAGGCGGACUUUUAAGUCAGGGGUGAAAUCCCGGGGGCUCAACCUCGGAAACUGCCUUUGAUACUGGGAAGUCUGGAGUCCGAGAGAGGUGAGUGGGAACCUCCGAGUGUAGAGGUGAAAUUCGUAGAUAUUCGGAAGAACACCAGUGGCGAAGGCGGCUCACUGGCUCGGUACUGACGCUGAGGUGCGAAAAGCGUGGGGGAGCAAAACAGGAUUAGAUACCCUGGUAGUCCACGCCGUAAACGAUGGAAGCUAGCCGUCAGGGUGCAUGCAUCUUGGUGGCGCAGUUAACGCAUUAAGCUUCCCGCCUGGGGAGUACGGUCGCAAGAUUAAAACUCAAAUGAAUUGACGGGGUC